rnacentral:rRNA from 1 species
CUGACAUGCGUGCGAGUUGACGGGUUCUGAAACCUGGGAUGCGCAAGGAAGCUGAUGAGCGGGAGGCCCUCACGGGCCGCACCGCUGGCCGACCCUGAUCUUCUGUGAAGGGUUCGAGUUGGAGCACGCCUGUCGGGACCCGAAAGAUGGUGAACUAUGCCUGAGCGGGGCGAAGCCAGAGGAAACUCUGGUGGAGGCUCGAAGCGAUACUGACGUGCAAAUCGUUCGUCUGACUUGGGUAUAGGGGCGAAAGACUAAUCGAACCAUCUAGUAGCUGG